GAUGAAGAACGCAGCGAAAUGCGAUACGUAAUGUGAAUUGCAAAUUCAGUGAAUCAUCGAGCCUUUGAACGCACAUUGCGCCCCCUGGUAUUCCGGGGGGCAUGCCUGUCCGAGCGUCAUUGCUGCCCUCAAGCACGGCUUGUGUGUUGGGCCCCGUCCUCCGAUCCCGGGGGACGGGCCCGAAAGGCAGCGGCGGCACCGCGUCCGGUCCUCGAGCGUAUGGGGCUUUGUCACCCGCUCUGUAGGCCCGGCCGGCGCUUGCCGAUCAACCCAAAUUUUUAUCCAGGUUGACCUCGGAUCAGGUAGGGAUACCCGCUGAACUUAAGCAUAUCAAUAAGCGGAGGA
rnacentral:misc_RNA from 1 species